rnacentral:rRNA from 1 species
GACGAACCGUGCGAACGUUAUUCGGAAUCACUGGGCUUAAAGCGCGUGUAGGCGGGUCGGCACGUCGGACGCUGAAAUCCCCCGGCUCAACCGGGGAAGGGGCGCCGAUGCGGCCGGCCUGGAGGGACGUAGGGGGGGCUGGAACUUCCGGUGGAGCGGUGAAAUGCGUUGAGAUCGGAAGGAACGCCCGUGGCGAAAGCGAGCCCCUGGACGUCUACUGACGCUGAGACGCGAAAGCCAGGGGAGCGAACGGG